rnacentral:lncRNA from 1 species
CAUACUUUUCUGUUCCCUUUUCGUCAUCUGGAUCAUCUUUAUUUGGUUUAUCUUGACCAUUUUCAUCUAUGCCUUCUUUCAGACAUUUUUCAGUAUCAGGUUCUUCUGGAACCUUUCCACUUAUGUCUUCUUUCAGACAUCUUUCAAUAUCAAGUUCUUUUGGAACCUUACCAUUUAUGCCUUCUUUCAGACAUCUUUCAGUAUCAGGUUCUCUUUGAACCUUUCCACUUAUGUCUUCUUUCAGAUAUUUUUCAGUAUCAGGUUCUUUAGGAACCUUGCAACUUUUCUCAACCAAUUUCUUUCGGGGAUUUUUAUC